AUCCCAGCUGGUCCCGGGGUCUGCCAGACUCCCCCUGCGGCCUCUCUUCCUGCCAGGACUCCAGGCCGGACACCAGGGCCUCCCCUGCCUAGGCUCAGGUGUGAGGGUGGACCCUUCCUGCCCCUCUGCGGUCCCUCCGGAUGCUCAUUGAGGUGUGCCCAGCUCUUUCGCACAUUAGCUGCUUCCUGCUGUUCCUUCUGCCCGAAUGCUUUUCCUUCACAAUGCAUGGAGAGAACCCACUCAUCGUGCCGGUUUCCACUUGAAUGAGAUGCAAAACAAGUCUAUGGAGGAGAGAGAGCCUUUUCAACAAAUGGUACUAGAACAAUUGGACAUUUGUAGGGGGAAAAGGUGGACCUCAACCUAAGUCUCAGACCUUGUACAAAAAUCCGCUCAAAGUAGGUGAUGUACUUACAUAUUAAACAUAAAACUUUUAAACUUUCAUUUAAAAGUAGUAGAAAAUCUUUGGGAUCUUGGAUUUAGACUUGACACCAAAAGCA